rnacentral:rRNA from 1 species
AGAGUUUGAUCAUGGCUCAGAAUGAACGUUGGCGGCGUGGAUUAGGCAUGCAAGUCGAGCGACAAGCUCAGAUGGAUCCCUUCGGGGUGAAGCCUGAGUGGAGGAGCGGCAAACGGGGUAGUUAUACACAGGUACGUACCCUCAGGUCGGGGAUAGCUGCGGGAAACUGCAGGUAAUACCCGAUGAUCUGGCAACAGCAAAGGUGUGAUUCCGCCUGAGGAGCGGCUUGUGCGAUAUCAGCUUGUUGGCGAGGUAACGGCUCACCAAGGCUUAGACGUCCAGGGGGUGUGAGAGCAUGGCCCCCACCACCGGAACUGAGACACUGUCCGGACACCUACGGGUGGCUGCAGUCGAGAAUCUUCGGCAAUGCGCGAAAGCGUGACCGAGCGACGCCGCGUGCGGGAUGAAGGCCUUCGGGUUGUAAACCGCUGUCAGAGGGGAUGAAAUUGUCGGGGGUUCUCCCCCUUCAUUGACAGAGCCUCANAGGAAGCGCGGGCUAAGUUCGUGCCANCAGCCGCGGUAACACGAACUGCGCGAACGUUAUUCNGAAUCACUGGGCUUAAAGGGUGCGUA